AACCAGGGCUGCCUGAAACAGCAUCAACCACAACAUGGCAUUGAUUUGUCUGUCCUUAGACCUCCUGAAAAGACAUGUAUUCCUUCGGCUGCUAGCAAGAGGAAGCCCUACAGAGACCAUCUAAUGAUGCUUAACCAUACUGACUACCUGCACUAAAUAUAAUACAGGAAGAUGAUGGUAAGGACAGCAGAACAGAGAUGGAAUAAGAUGCCAGUUCCAUGCAGGUCACAUUUAGCUCCAGAUUGUUUUCACAUCAGAUGUAGCUGGCAUCAUAUCCUAGGAUUCUGCAGUUGGAGUGAACCAGUUCACAGACUGAUGGAAAAAACAAUGCUUAGGGAAGAAAGAAAAACUUCAAAGAAUUUUCUUCCUUUAAUAUCCUUUAACAGGUCGCUGAUGGUUGCCACCACGAUUCUUCACUGUUUGUGGUCACUUACAGAGUUGCAGGUGCAAAACAGACCUUUUAAUCUACAACUGACAACAUUAUAAAUUCCCCUGAACUUGGAUUUAUCUAUGACUUAUGCACACCUUUGUGAUCUUUGGUUUUGGCAAUGCAUCCUUAGGAAUGAAACUGCAGAUUCAGGUUGCUUUAGGGUUUGGAGUGUAACUCCAUGCCAUGCUAUCAUCCAUUGUGAAUCUCAAGUGUUCUCAGUCUGGUCACUAGAGAAAAGCACUUCAUAGUCACCUGCUACAGUUAUCAAAAGAGGUGUAAGCUGAGACUGUCAGUGUAAGAGAGAGGGUUCAGCAUCUGAGCUAACCCACCAAAGUCAGCAACACACGUUAUCUGUACACUGUCUUAGGCAACAAUUCCUUUCGUUCUAAAAAUCUUGUCUCUGAAUAGCAUUGCUUUGCCUGGUUGGCCUAUUUAAUUUAAUGCUUUCAUAACAUUUCCAGUCGGUCAUAACUUUCCCAAGAUGGAUAUCAGGUUUCAUAACCCUUUUCCUUCUAGAAAAAAAAAAGUUAGAGGAGGGUUACUUUUUGUUAUUGCUGGCUUUUACAAAA